rnacentral:rRNA from 1 species
GACGAACGCUGGCGGCGUGCUUAACACAUGCAAGUCGAACGGAAAGGCCCUGCUUUUGUGGGGUGCUCGAGUGGCGAACGGGUGAGUAACACGUGAGUAACCUGCCCUUGACUUUGGGAUAACUUCAGGAAACUGGGGCUAAUACCGGAUAGGAGCUCCUGCUGCAUGGUGGGGGUUGGAAAGUUUCGGCGGUUGGGGAUGGACUCGCGGCUUAUCAGCUUGUUGGUGGGGUAGUGGCUUACCAAGGCUUUGACGGGUAGCCGGCCUGAGAGGGUGACCGGCCACAUGGGGCCUGCGGGACGGCCCAGACGCCUACGGGAGGCAGCAGUGGGGAAUAUUGCACAGUGGGCGGAAGCCUGAUGCAGCAGCGCCGCGUGCGGGAUGACGGCCUUCGGGUUGUAAACCGCUUUCGCCUGUGACGAAGCGUGAGUGGCGGUAAUGGGUAAAGAAGCACCGGCUAACUACGUG